CGACCUGGCGAUACAAUUAAGAGAAGAAAUAUAUAUGCUAAUAUUUUUUUGAAAUAUUUAAAAACUACAGCACUCAUUUGUUUAAUAGGAUUGCCACUUAAAAUUUCUUCAAACUAUCUGCAGGAGCACUAACGAAACUACUACCAACUGAGGACAACGCAGCUACCACAGGGCAUCCUGGGACUUGUAGUAUCACAGUAUAAUGCAUUAUUAUUAUUAUUAUUAUUACUGAAAAAAAAGGUCUUUGUUAUUCGCUUUUAGUUAAUUUGGCCAAUAUUAUCUCUGCUCAGCUAAUAUCCCAUUUGCUUAUCUUAGCUGAUCUUUUGCAUGGGUUGCUUCAAUGUUUAUCUCCAGUUUUCAUCACCCUCUUUAAUGAGAAGUGUCACACACACCUCCAUUUUCACAGUGAAUGGUAUCCACUGGGUCACUGAGGCCAGAAGUCGAGCACUGAGGAAGCACCAUGAUGACCUUUAAACGCUCAAUGGUGGCGUCCCGCUCGCCCAGACUGAAGAAGGCCCCAGACAGGACACGCACAUCUAUAGGGAGCUCGUGCAUGUCCUCCAGCUGUGAGGAAGUGUGAUCAGCCCCACACACCAGAACGCUGCCUGAGCAGGCAGCCGCCAUGAUGGCCACGUGGGCCACAGUCAGGGCUGAGAAAGAGCCCGCCACCAGGACAUCGGCUUUCUCGAAUAAGAGGGGGCAUAAGGCACUCACCGACACGCAUAAGCUCCUGUCCUGUCACAUAACAAUGAUGCAUCUAGAAGACAAAGUGUCACGUCUGGGUACGGAGCAAUGAGGGUGGAUCCCAAAAUGCAGAGACAAGACCAGCUCGAAGUACUGUAAGUAAAGUCUUGAAUCAUGCAAAAAAAAUGGAACAGGGAAUACGUGGAACAAAAAGUACAGUCCAGUACAAAUAUGGUAAGUCAAUGAAGCACCACGACAACAUGUAAAACUAGAAAGAGAAGAGAAACUGAAAAAUACACUGAAAAAUACUUGUCAGUUGGGCUACUGGACAAGCAAGAAAGUGGGAAAAAGGAGAACAAAAAUAGUACAUGAAGCUAACAAGAUAGCUAACUAGGAGCCUUUGAAGGAGCACAACAUCUGCAAGAGACAAAAAACGAAAGAGGAGUGGGAAGCUUGAAAAAACAAAAGACUGAGAAACUAUACAUUAUAAAACAACAACAACUAUGACAAAAACCAAAUAGGUGUCACAGCACAGCGUGACAGUUUCACCUCCCCGCCCGAAAUCAACUCAACGGACGCCACCUGGCGAACUACCAGGCUUGUCGGGGAACUUGCAGUAGAAAUCAGAAAGAAGGGAGGCGUCGAGGAUGAGCGACCGAGAGACCCAAGAGCGGUCCUUGGGACCAUAACCCUCCCAGUCGGUAAGAUACUGCACACCUCUGCCCCGCCUCCUGGCGUCCAAGAUGGUCUUAGCUGUAAAGGCAGAGUUUCCGUCAACCAAGCAAGGAGGGUGAGGAAGCACUGACGGAGGACUGAGGUCACAGGAUGCGACCGGCUUAAAGCGGGACACAUGAAACACUGGGUAGGUAUUGAGAGAUUAGGAAGCUUGAGUCUGGCAGACAAGGUUACCCAUCCGCUCCACCUCGAAUGGUCCAGGGUACCUGGGAGCCAGCUGACAGAAGCCCCCAAGGAGAAAUCCUUCCUGGUAGGUGAGAAGAACUGGGGACCUCUGUCCGACACAACAUUGACACGUAUGCCAUGGAGCCGAGCCAUGUGCUUGACCAGGAGCUUGGCAGUCUCUAGGGAAGAAGAAAGUUCGCAGAGGCCACCUGUGAGAUGAGAAAGGCCGUGCAUCUGGCUCUGGGAUGGCAGGCUAUCCUGGAACCCUGGGCUCAGGUCAAGACUUUAGGAUGCAGGACACGAGGGACGAAUAGUUGACUCUGAGGACAAUCCGCAGGGGAUGGUGUGUCCUUAAUAGCCUCAGUCAUAUACUUCUCCACCUCCCACUGGAGGCCACCGAGGAUGCGGGACUUGGGGUGGAUGUUCUCCCGGGAAGAGAGCGGGUGUAGGAAAGGUUUCUGUGGUCCAUAUUCAAUUUCAUGGUCCGAAUGACGAAAGGAUGAGCCGAUACCUCCAACCAGUGCCUCCACUCCUGCAGUGCGAGGACCACCGCCAACAGCUCACGAUUGUCAUCAUCAUCAUUGUGAUGCCUGGAGAAAAAGGUGCAAGAGUGCUGCCUCUGCUCGAAACUGGAGCGCUGGGAGAGUACACAUCACCGACCCCAGUGUCGGACGAAUCAACCUCGACAUAAAAGGAAAAAAGCAAUUAGGGUAGAUCAGAACAGGUGCAGAGGUGAAAAAAACUUGAGACACCGAAAGGCCAGAUCGGCCCCAGUCGACCAAGCGAAAGGAACCUUAAGCUUUUUCAGCAGCUUGACUACUGUCCUAAAACCUUGAAUAAAGUGGAAGUUGGCAAAACCAAGGGACCUCUGUAAAAGCUUCCUAUAUGUAGGAGUGGGUCAAUCAACCGCGGCCUGUAUCUUAGCAGGGUCAGGUUUCCACAGUAAACCCUAGGAAAGACACAGAAGAUGAGUGAAAGGUACAUUUUUUUGGCUUGACAAACAACCUGUUUUCCAAAAGUCUCUGGAGGACGAGAAGGACGUGUUGUUUGGAAGAGGAAUAAAAAAUAAGAAUGUCGUCCAAGUAAGCAAAAACAAAAUGACCAAUCAUGUCACAGAGGACAUCAUUGAUCAAAAACUGGAAGACUGCAGGGGCGUUUGUAAGUCAAAGGGCACGAUGUAAUAUACUGUAUGCCCCAAGGGGGUGUUAAAGACAGUCUUCCAUUUGUCCCCUUUACAGAUACAAAUAAGGUAAGGUAAGCAUUGCGAGCUCUGCCUGACUCAAGGAGGGCCAACGUCUACAAGAGACCAAAGCAGUGGGAAGCUCAAAACAACAAAAGAAUGAGAAACAAGAAAAAACAUCAUGACAAA